rnacentral:lncRNA from 1 species
CUGACAAGCCCAGACCUGCUUCUGUUCUGAAAAAGCAUGUGGCAGAGAUGAAAAGAGAGAAGGAGGCAGUUACAGCAUGAUCUAUGUGGAGUUGGAAUGGAUUUCAUUGGCCAUCUCAUCUAAUCCCCUCAUUGUACAGAUAAGGAAACUGAGCCCAGGGAAGUUAACUGACUUGUUCUAGCAAGAAGCAAGCUUCAGGGGAGGUUUGUGAACCCUAGUUCUCUGAUUUGAGUUAAUGUGAUUUCUCACGUACCAUACUAGGUCCCGAACUCUGAGAUCAAAGAACCCAGAGUUGGUUACAAAGAUCAUCUGGACAUCCCCUUCCUCCAGGAACUUAACCAAUUGCAGGAACUCAUGAAUUUAAGAUUAUUCUGAGAAAGGCACACGGGCUUCAGCAGAUGGCCAAAGAAGGGUCUGUGGCACCCCAAAAGACCCUGCCCUGGGGCCUACAACAAGAUUCCACACAUGAAAAUGGAAGCUGAUGGCCAGGCACCUUCCACUCGGCUAAGGCCGGCUUUCUGCCCCUUGGACGGUGCAAACUCUCAGCUUGCAAUAGAAGACUCAGCAGAGAAUUUCUGAAAGUACUAUCAGUACAUUACAUUGUAAAUCUUCUUCUUCUGCCAGUCCAAGCAAAAUUCUGCCCUAAUCCAUGGAGCACAAUCUUCAGUUCCAAAGGGAAGGAGAAAAAAAGAAGGCAAAGUGGUGUAGUAGAAAGCAGGCCACAGAAGCAGGAAGACUUAGGCACACAGCUCACUUCUGACACAUUGUGGAUGAGUGACCAUAUCUCAGUGCCCCUGGGUAACUUUCUGUUUGUGGAGAAAAAGUUGAUUUACAUUGAGUCUCACCAAAAAGGAGUUUCUUCUAUCAAUGAAAUCACAAAUUCAGUCCUUACUUGACUCAGAAGCAGCUGGUUUAGGGAGCUUUUUGGAGGGAGGGGGCUGUUAAUUUUGCGUGCUCUACUUUUAGAAAUUUGCUCUCAAGUACCUUGUAAAAUAAUGCUUUGAUUUGUACUUGGUUUAUUACAUAGUUUGUUAAUGCUUCUUCACUUUGAGUGGUGCUAUGUUAUUCCAUGAAUAACAUGGAAUAUUUGGGAUAAUCAUGCUUGUUAUUUUAAAGUAAAGAUGUUUAUUUUGAUGGUUAGACUGAAUAAUUAAAUAUUUAAAGGAUUCCCUGGCUAAUUUUACAGGAGACAGCAACAUUUCUGGUUCUGCUAACGAAUGUAGCAUGUUGUGUUAUGAGGCCAAUAGGAGGAAGAUAGGAAACUACCAAGCAGACGCUCUCCCUGAGUUCUCCAGUUGGUGACAUCUUUGGACUUGGCUUUCUAGGACCAUUUGUAGAAGCUUCUGGGAGAAAUGAAGUGAGAAAUGCUAUUCAUAAUACACAGGAAAUAAGUAGGCAGAGAGGGCUAAAUGGAGUUUGCAGGAUCAUUUGCAGAAAUCAAGAUAGGACAGUAUCAGACUUUUAAAAGCCACUGGACUCUGCCCAAGAUACCCAGCCUAACCAUUAGGGUCAUGAUGAUGAGGAUGCUAUUUCAAGAGCCCAUUCUGGCAUACGACACCUGAGAAUGAUAUGGGAAUUCUCAGACAUUUGAGAAUAAAUAAUAUGGGAACCGGAAAACCUGGUGGAUCUGAUAGUGCCAGUCCCAAUUUCUGAUUUCCUUCCCGAGGAGAAGGGGAGUUCUAAGAGAGAAGGGUGUGUUGCAUAAGAACCUUGAUAGUGGCUGCAGGAGUAGCCAACUUGACAGUUACCACAAUGAUAUAACCUGAAUUAGUUAUCAGCUGCAAUAAGGACAAAUCUCUUUCCCUGAGAUGGAGAAAAGAGAUCAAUAUAAUCGAUUUGCCUAUUGGAGGCAAAAUGAAAACUCUGUGGGAUUAACCAUCUUGGUCUUUUUGAGGUGAGAAUUCCAAUUAGCACCAUGGGAUAGAAGUAGCUGCCUAUUCCUUAGUUAAGGGGAUCAAUGUGUUCCAGACCCCAUAUUCACAUUGACAAAGGACAAACUCUGAUCUUCGGUGCCAUCCUAAGCAUCAAUCCGGGUUGCUCAGUUCCAGAGGGUAAGGUAAGUCUGAUGGGCGCUGACAUACACCAAACAGCUCUAUAAAGGGCAGGUAUAAAUAACAUUAAUCUAGCAGACUGAUUACAGAAAAAACCUAGGAUUUACAUGAACUGAUGCUGAAUGAAGUGAGCAGAACCAAUACAAAGUAACAAUAAGAUUGUGUAAUGAUCAACUAUGAUAGACAUAGCUCUUCUCAGCAAUACAGUGAUGCAAGACAAUUCCAACAUUUCAAAAUCCAACAAUUCCAACAAAAAACCAAAUGGUGAGCUCAGUUUUUAAAAGCACCAUUUCCAUAACAAUAAAUCUUCUGUGCUCUGCUCAUCUUGCUAAAGGUACCAUCUUGCAUCAUUCAACUCAUAAUGGGCAACUUUGGAUGGAAAGUGCUCCUUCUGCUUUAAUUUUUACUUUUUAAAAAUAUUGAUCUUUUUCUUUGGGAUCAGGUCUUGUUCUACAAAUUAUAAUUAUAAAAACUAUAAUUUUGCAACAAUCUUUAAGUGUUUUGUAGUAGUUAUUUCUAUUGUUGUAAUCAUUAGGUUUAUUUCCCCCCCUACACUGUGACUUCAUUUUGCAUCAGUUCAUUUAAGUCUUUUCAUAUUUCUCAGUUAACAGAUUUAUCAUUUUUUACAGAACAGC